rnacentral:rRNA from 1 species
CGCGUAGGAAUCUACCUAUCGGCGGGGGAUAGCCCGGAGAAAUCCGGAUUAAUACCGCAUAAGCCCUACGGGGGAAAGCGGGGGACCACUUGUGGCCUCGCACCGAUAGAUGAGCCUGCGUUAGAUUAGCUAGUUGGUGGGGUAAUGGCCCACCAAGGCGACGAUCUAUAGCUGGUCUGAGAGGAUGAUCAGCCACACUGGGACUGAGACACGGCCCAGACUCCUACGGGAGGCAGCAGUGGGGAAUAUUGGACAAUGGGCGCAAGCCUGAUCCAGCAAUACCGCGUGUGUGAAGAAGGG